AAAAGGGUGCAGGGCCCAACAUCAGAAGGCCCACGGUGGCAUUAGUUGAGUCAGACCAGAGAGGGGGGUGUCAAAGAAAUUCCAGGGGUACAUGGAAGUAAGGCCUUUGAGCCUGGUCAGAGGCCCACACGCUGGGAGAAAAGGGGAAUGAAUCAAAACCAAUCCCUCAUUUCAAUUUCACUACGAACCAAACCUUAACUCAUACCUCUCUCUCUCUCUCUCUCUCUCUCUCUCUCUCUCUCUCUCUUUUCGUACCGAAAAUCGCUCCACCACACCGGAGGCAGUGGAGUAGCGUAGAAAUGGCCAUAGCCAUUAUCAUCAAAACCACCUUAUUCUUAUAUCCCUACUUAUUAUCUUGAUUUCAUCUAAUUAUCAAAGAUACUCUUUAUCCCUCAUGAUUUUAUCAAGAACCCUAAAAAUCAAAACAAUAAUUAACUGGUGUUAGGGAGGUAUCAGAGCCUAAAACUUUAGGACUUUGAUUCCCCACAUUUGAAACUACAUUAUGGUAACCAACUUGGGGCCAAAGAAGAUGGAUUAGAGGGAGCUACCAACCUACAAGGUCGAUGUGUACCCUGGAAUAUGUUGAAGGUUGAAGAAGACAAUAAGAACAUAGAUGUGUAUCCAGGGUUGUCUUGGGCUUAUCUUGAAGAUGAUGGCAUGAAGGUUCUUUUGGUAUGAGACUUGAACAUGAGCAAAACAUGGCAUGAUGCACCAUAAUAAAGAUUGGUGACUUAGAGAUCAAAUUGGGAACCAUGAAGAUGAAGAAGGGAAUAGGUUCAGGGUUGAGUUAACUUUGGGCAACUAUUUGACCAAAAAGUCAACAGUUGAUCUAAAGUCAACCUUAGGUCAAAAAUUGGGUUUUCUUUGUGUAAUCUGAAUUAUGCAUUUUGUAAUGUAAUAUUUUGAUGUUUUGAAUGUAGGAUUCACCAUUAUAUGUAACUUAUGACUUAUGCCUUAAGUAAAAUAGAACUUCUCCCUCCA